rnacentral:sRNA from 1 species
AGCAGCCGCGGUAAUUCCAGCUCCAAUAGCGUAUAUUAAAGUUGUUGCAGUUAAAAAGCUCGUAGUUGAAUUUCGGGGUUCUACCGUUGGUCGGGCUAUAGUCUGUACUGGCGUGUGGAAUUUCUACCUUCUGGGGAACUAUCAUGUUAUUAAUUUAGCGUGGUAGGAAACCAGAACCUUUACCUUGAAAAAUUAGAGUGUUCAAAGCAGGCUUACGCCUGAAUACAUUAGCAUGGAAUAAUAAAAUAGGACGGUGGUCCUGUUUUGUUGGUUUCUGAAUCACCGUAAUGAUUAAUAGGGAUAGUUGGGGGCAUUAGUAUUCAAUUGUCAGAGGUGAAAUUCUUGGAUUUAUUGAAGACUAACUUCUGCGAAAGCAUUUGCCAAGGAUGUUUUCAUUAAUCAAGAACGAAAGUUAGGGGAUCGAAGACGAUCAGAUACCGUCGUAGUCUUAACCAUAAACUAUGCCGA